GACUUGGAUGAUGCUUAUGUUAAUGUUUUGAAGAAACCUAGUGGUAAGUAUAUAAGCAAUCCAUUAAUAAAAUUAUAUUCAUUUAUCAUCCCUGUCAUUGGAAUCAGUCCUGGUAAAGUUAGUAAAAAGUUUGGCUCAUUCCUUGAGUGGAAUAUGCUGCUUAAUAGUAUAUAUAUGCAUGUAUUUAAAGAAAACCAUUAAAAUGUUAAAAUUCAACUGCAUAUAAGCUGCAUCUUCUAGACAUUCAUAUUAAUUCCAUAAUUGUGCACUUCUAUUAAUCCUUACAAUAGUAUAGUUCAUGUGUAUAUUUUUGUAAGCUCUAUUUACACAAAUAAAGCAAAUACUGAUAAAACUAGUAUUGAGAUUACUAGACAUGAAGCAUAAUGUAUAGAGCAAAUUUGCAAUGGUGAAUGUUUCACAUCUUGAUCAGAAACUGUUUUGAGUACCCACAAUCAGUCCUGCUCAUGGACACCACUGACAUGAAAGUAACAUUGGAAGAUAGUGAAUGACUUCUCUUAAUGGUAACAUCAUCAUCAUCGUUUAACGUCUGCUUUCCAUGCUAGCAUGGUUUGUACGAUUUGACUGAGGACUGGUGAAUCAGAUGGCUACACUAGGCUCCAAUCUGAUCUGGCAAAGUUUCUACAGCUGGAUGCCCUUCCUAAUACCAACCACUCCGAGAGUGUAGUGGGUGCUUUUAUGUGCCACCGGCACGAGGGCCAGUCAGGCAGUAAUGGCAAUGGCCACUCUCAAAUGGUGUUUUGUACAUACCACCUGCACUGGCAACGACCUCGCUCAAAUGUUUUUUUCACAUGCCACCAGCACAAGUGCCAGUAAGGCAACACUGGUAGCGAUCAUGCAUGAAUGGCACUUUUUACAUGCCACUGGCAUGGAAGCCAGUUAGCUACUCUGGCAACGAUCAUGCUCGGAUGGUGCUCUUAGCAAUCCACUAGCAUGGAUGCCAGUCAUCGAAUUUUAUUUCAAUUUCGAUUUGCCUCAACAGGUCUUCACAAGCAGAGUUUAGUGUCCAAUUAAGGGAAGGUACGCAUAAGUGAACUGGUUACACCCCUGGCAUAGGCCAUGAGGUUAUUUAAACAUUAUUAUGUUUAAAUAUCAAUAAAAUAUAUUUGAGUGACUGAUAUAGUAGAAUACCAUACUAAAUACUUGAAGGUGUUAAAUUUAGUCCCACUCUAUUCUGAGCUCAAAUACCACUGAUGUCAGUUUUAUCUUUCAUCUUUUUCUGAUCUACAUAAUAAAUUUCAGUCAUCUACUAGGUUGAUUUUGCAUGCUAAUUUUUAUUCACUGAGAAAACUCAUUAUUUUUAAUAUUGAUUAUAUAAUUUCACUUUUUGUUUUUGUUGGGCUUUGUAAUGUAUUGCAUAUAUUAUAUACUCUGUAUUUUAUACCCAGUUGUUGUAUUCUACACCUGCACAAACUAAAAGUUGCAACCCUAUUGACAUUUACGAAAACAACAAAGAAAUGAGAUUAAUCCAUAAGUUGUUAUAUGAAGAUAUUGUCUUAAAACAUAUUUAUUUUGAAAUAAGUUUUUCUAAUGACCAUUCAUGCUUUGUUUUCUUGAAAGUAGAUAGUGUCAGAAUAGUUGAGGUAUGAUUAAGUUCUUCUUUCAUUUUGUAAGUAUUGUUAUUCAUGAAUUUAAUACUGUAUUUAAAGUCAAGCUAUUUUACUGGUUUUACUUCUUUCAUAAUAUUUCCUUAAUGAAGAUGUCAUGUAUUGAAAACCAUCUCUCAAAUAUGUUCUGGAAGUAUAACUGUACAUUCAAAAAUAUCCUAAACUCUCAACUAACAGUUUCUAAAUUAACAGUUUCUUACAUUCUCUUUUAUUCUAACCUGAUUAUAUCCAUAUAUCCAUAUGCAGAACAUGGGUAUAUAAAAUAAUGCAAGUAAUAGUAAACUAAAAUCUAAGCCUAUGAAAGAAGAAACUAUUUAUACUUAUAUUUCUCUGAAUUAUAUAUAAUAAAUAAAUUUGUCUCUUUUUCUUAGUUAUGAUUAUAUAUGUACAGGAUUUGUACACUAUCAUUUCAUCCAUAUUCAUUGGUGAAGCUUGGAUUUUCUAUAUAUUUCUAAAAAUACUUAUGGAAUUAGAGGAUUUAGAUUUAAUUUAUUCUCAUCAUUUUAUGUACCUAAAUUUAUCUUUAAGAAUCAAGAAUUUUUCAUUCACUAUAUAGUUCUGAUAUUUUUCUCAUUUCACAGCAGUUUUAGGCUGAAUUACAUAUAGAUAUUUAAGUUUUUAUUAAUUUGUUUAAAUUCUUAUUAAGUUUUUUGAUAUUAGUUAUUUAAAUUCUCAGACACUCAGUUACUAAAUUGGCUUGCUACCUGUCUUUGUUUAAACUCUGCAUGAGUUUCUGAACUUACAAAAUGGAAACAUACAACCAUGAAUUCUUUCAUCGCUAAGCAUUCAUAUGUGUUUCAACUUGAAGUUCUUCAGAAAUGGAAACCUGUAAAGCAUCUUGCAAUUAGAACCAAUAACUUAAUCUUGUUAAAGAUCACCAAAACACAACACUGCACAUCUCAAAAAAAUAUCUAUUACACCUUUUUCUCUCAUGAAUAUUAAAACUUUAUGUAAAUUCUAACACUCUUCAUAUAUUUUUCACUGAUCUAUAAUACUCCAACUAUCCAAACUUCAGUGCCAAACAACUGACAAUAAACAACCAUUACCAAGAAAAUUUGCUCUCAUCCCCACAUCAGAAUCGCACUGUAAACUCCCCUGACAGUUGCUGCAAAAUCUACCAAACCAGAAAAUCAUCUUGGAGAGAGCUGAUAGUUAUUGGUACAGAAAGCACAUGUUCUAUAGGAAAACCCAUGAAAAAAACUGUUCAAAGGAACAAUUAACACUGAAAUUAAUGUACUAGAUUGACAGACAGCUGCACAUACAACACUAGUUGCAAAACACGAGGAGCAUAUGACCAAAAACUACAAGCUCAUGGCAUACUUGAAGGUUAUAUAUGAAUUAUAUACAGUUUUCUUGAAUGCAUUCCUCCACGUCCACUUUGGAAUAAGCAAUAUGGUGGCUGAAGAGUAGGCAAGAGGAAAGAAAGGAGUCAUAGGCUGGGAUGAACAGCUUCUUAUAAACCUUCCUUAAGGUAACAAAACAGCAUUGCUAAAACUUAUUGACUGUAUGGUUAGACUCUAAGAAGUUGUUUGAUUCUGCUUAUUACUUAUGGAUAAGAGAGUCACCUCAUUCUGUUGAGGUUCUAAAUGAUAUAUUCAUUGUUAUUAAGGGACUGACUACAUCAUGGUCCACAAGAACUAUCAAUAAGAACUGGAACUACCACUAUAGUCACUAACAAAGUUAUAUUAUCUACAGGAAUAUUUCAGGGUGACAGCUCAUCUGUAAUGCUUUUCAUCCUAACAGCGAACCAUUUGUCAGCCUUUAAAGGAUUACAUGACAGGAUCUGCACCCACAUCUUUUUUGUUUAUAACCUUACUACUACUACUACUACUACUUCCAAUUAUUUUUCUGCAAAGCAUGUAAUUACUUUCAAAAUUACCAAGCAUCAAAUAACUGUUUAAGAGAUCAGGAUCUCGUGUGCAUUUUUAUUCUUUCAUUUUGUAGGUUACCAGUGAAGGUCUAUGUUCUUCAGAUGAACAAAAGGAACCUAGAAGCUUCCAGAACUGAAUGAAACCUUGUGAGCAACCAAUCAGUCUCUUUGUCAUCAUUUCAUGGACACUUUUGCAAGCACUGAAGAUUUGAACUAAAUAUCUGAUACUACCAUAAAAUUAUUGAUUUCUGUUAUAUGCUAUAACUGCUUUGUUUUUGUAUAUAAUUCAUUGACAAUUUCUUGAUUUAUCUUCAGUCUUUAUAAAUGUCUAUCUAUAACUAAACAUUUGCAUCAAUGAAGUAAACCCAGUUAAAUUUCAGUAUUUCUUUCCUCUUAUAUGAGUCAUCAUCAUUUAAACACAGUAUGAAUAUUUAGCAACAUAGUUAUAAAUAUCAUUGAUUUUGGAACAUAUUUUAGAAUAAUCUCCUGAAAAAAAAUUAAGAAUUUGAAUUCAUGCCAAUUUUCUACAAAUGACCAGCAAUUAUGAUUGGGCUUUUUCCACAUUAAACAUAUUCUUGAAACCAUUUACAACUUCAUGAUUAAAAUUUGUGAUGUUCACUUUACAAAAGUUCAUUAUAUACUUUGUUAGUUUACUGCAUUGGAAUCAAUGUAUUCAGAUUUCA
rnacentral:lncRNA from 1 species